rnacentral:tRNA from 2 species
GGGCCGAUGCCCGAGGGGUUAAUGGGGACGGACUGUAAAUUCGUUGACGAUAUGUCUACGCUGGUUCAAAUCCAGCUCGGCCCA